rnacentral:sRNA from 1 species
GCCAGGUAUGGUGGCGCACACCCGUAGUUCUAGCUACUCAGGAGGCUGGGCUGGGAAGAUUGCUUGAGCCCAGGAGGUUGAGGCUGCAGUGAGCUAUGGUCCCACCACUGCGCCCCAGCCUGGGUGACAGAGUGAGACCCUGUCUCAAAAAAUAAUAAAAUACAGCCGGGCCCAGUGGCACACGCCUGUAAUCCCAGCACUUCGGGAGGCCAAGGUGGGUGGAUUGCUUUAGUCCAGGAGUUUGAGGCCUACCUGAGCAACAUAGCAAAACCCUGUCUCU